rnacentral:rRNA from 1 species
GGGUGCUCGAGUGGCGAACGGGUGAGUAACACGUGAGUAACCUGCCCUUGACUUUGGGAUAACUUCAGGAAACUGGGGCUAAUACCGGAUAGGAGCUCCUGCUGCAUGGUGGGGGUUGGAAAGUUUCGGCGGUUGGGGAUGGACUCGCGGCUUAUCAGCUUGUUGGUGGGGUAGUGGCUUACCAAGGCUUUGACGGGUAACCGGCCUGAGAGGGUGACCGGCCACAUUGGGACUGAGAUACGGCCCAG